rnacentral:rRNA from 1 species
UACGUAGGCAGCAAGCGUUGGUCGGAGUUACUGGGCGUAAAGGGUGCGUAGGCGGUUGGUUAAGUUUGGUGUGAAAUCUCCCGGCUCAACCGGGAGGGUGCGCCGAAUACUGAACGGCUAGAGUGCGGGAGAGGAGAGUGGAAUUCCUGGUGUAGCGGUGAAAUGCGUAGAUAUCAGGAGGAACACCGGUGGUGUAGACGGCUCUCUGGACCGUAACUGACGCUGAGGCACGAAGGCGUGGGUAGCAAACAGG